rnacentral:rRNA from 1 species
GUCUAUGGCCAAACCACCCUGAACGCACCAGAUCCCGUCUGAUCUCAGAAGCUAAGCAGGCUUGGGCCUGGUUAGUACUUGGAUGGGAGAACACAGAGAGGCUAAGAAGAGAAAAGCU